rnacentral:lncRNA from 1 species
CUACAGUCACGACAAUACUUAGCCAAAGGUGACCCAUAAUAGAUAUUCACAUCACCACUCUCAUUAGAGGGGUACGUCGUCAUCCACAGGGAGCGAUCUUCUUACAUCUUUUCAUACUAGAUAGGGGUGGGGGAAACAGAUACCCAGGAUGGGGUUAGGGGAACAGAUGCCCCUCAGAGAUAAAAAGCCUAACGACACAUUUGAUGCAUUUUGCAUGUCAAUACAAAUACAUACUUCGGACCAUUCAUGCUUCAUUCCACUUUUCUCUUUUUUUUGUUUCUUUUAUUUUUCUAGGUAAUAAUACUAACUUUAUAUUAUUUUUUUUACAUGCAAAUCAUUAAAUGUCUAUAAAUCACAUAGCAUGCUUAAAAACGAGAACAGUUCAGCUUAUUAGACCUACAAACACAAAAGCAUGUAAAACAAGCAAAAUCACAAUUAUCAUACUCCUUAAGACAUCGAAAGAAAUACUAAAUUCUUUACCGAAAUCUUGAUAUUUUCUUCUUCACUAUUCUUCUUUUUUCCCUCCUCUCUCUAGAUCACUAUCUCUCUCUCUUUUUCUCUCUCUAAUUCUUGAAAAAUGGAAGAAUGGAAGUGUGGGAAAGAAUAGGAAGUGAAGACCUAUUUAUAGAAAUUAAGAAUUGUUGGAUUCACACCAAGUGGCAAAAUUCAGUGAAGAGAGAGAGGAAAAAGAUCCUC